AAAAAAAAAAAAAAAAACUUAUAACAUAACUACGGAUAUAACCCACUUAAAAAAUAUUUUUUUUAAUUAGUUAAAAACAAGCGCACAAACAAGGUACAAGGAGGAAGGCACACACCCUAUUUUUGUCAUGCUAAGGAUCAGCCCUGCCACCAGAAACAGAUACUCGUAGAACAGACUAAAAUUUUUAUUUUUAAUUGGUUAAGAAAACAUGCACACGCACAAGGGAAGGCACCCACCAUUUGAUAAAUAAUUAUUACCAAAAAAAAAGGGAUUCACCUGACAUUCAUGAUCCAUCGCAAAAUAAUCAAAUUUCCACAACUAGCAGGGGCCAAAGAUUUAAUUAUAUAAAAUUACACAACACAAACAUAAAGAGAACGAAAGUGAGAACCUUGAGG
rnacentral:misc_RNA from 1 species